CGGGGCGGCACCGGCGGCGGGCGCUGGUCGGUCCGGGCGGCCCCGCCGUCCCGCCGGGCGGGGAAGGCCGCUCCGCACUGUGCAGCCAGCCGGGCCGGGUGGCUGCGGCGCUCGGCCAGGGCUCGGCCUCCAGCUUCCGCCGCCUGCCCUCCGGCUUCCGCCGCCGCCCCGCCGCGGGAGGCCCGGGCCUGCGCCGGGCUCGGUGCCGUCACAGCCCGUGCCCCAAGUAGGCCCCUCUGGCCCCCAGGCGGCCGCCCAGGAGGCGGAGUCUGUUCCGUGGCGUGCGUGGCGGUGCGAGCGGCUGCAGGUGAUAAAGACGAGGCGGGGAGAGCAGGGCCCGUGAGGCCCCGCACAGGAGCGGCCGUCGGGGCCGUGUCUGGGGCACGGGGUCAUUUUUCAUCCCAGAUAGGUGGGGUGAAUGAGGCUUGUUGGUCUCCUCUUGUGAUUGGAAAACAAAGGAGAAGAGAGUGAUCUAAAGCUUCUACAGAAAGAAGGACUUCUCAGAAGAGCACAAGAAGUUCUCCUCUGCCUAGCCCAUGCUCCUUCUGGGAAUGCAGGAGGUGAAAGUCCCCAGACUUGCUGUACUACCUGUCAUCUGCAGUUCAGAUUGAAAGAAUUACAAAGAGCAGCAACCCAAUGCAUAAGCUGAAGAGGCUCACUGGCACCAAUCUUUGCCUUUGCCUGUGACAGAAGAUUGAGUUGCGAGAACCUACCACAAUGCCCCUUCUCUCCAUCUGCUGGCUUCUGACAUCUAUGGAAAACACAGUUUUAUAAAAUCAAAAGGAUAUUCACUGUGCAAAAUGGUCUUCGGUAUCUCUGCUGUAUUAAACAAAACUAUUUGCCCAAAUACUUCUCGUGACAGUACUUAAAGGUUUACGUAACUCCACCUACUUCUUUCAGAAAACUUCCCCAUUAAUGAAGAAUUCCCCACUAGGGAAAAUUCUCUAUUGCUAACAGUGGUGCACUGUAACCAGAAACAGAAAUGCUGGGAAAUUAGCACAAAAAACGCCACAAACAAUUUAAGAAACAGGUCACCUGAUCAAAGCUAUAUGGGAACAGUCCUUGGAACACCACUAGCAGGAGGUCAACCAUCUACAAAAACUCAGGGUCCCUACAGUAUGGUGCCAAACAGGGGCUAAUAGUGACUGGCAAUUUCUACACAACUUUCUCAGGUCAGCAAAGCUCCUAAGUUGGAGUAAUAGGAAGAGCAUUGCCUACCCUUCUCUGGUAAGAACAGAUAAUUUUCUCCCCAAGAUUUGAGCACAAUGAAGACCUCUUGCCUUGCCACUGGGUAUGCAGGAAGUCAGAAAAGUAGAAGUCAUUCAAGAAUACAGAAAAAAACCUCCACAAAACACCAAGUAUUAGAAGCCAAAAGACAUACUCACAUGAACUUGUGGACCGUGGUGG